rnacentral:rRNA from 1 species
ACUGAACGCUGGCGGAAUGCCUAACACAUGCAAGUCGAGCGGGGUGUAGCAAUACACCUAGCGGCGGACGGGUGAGGAAUACAUAGGAAUCUACCUUUAAGUGGGGGAUAGCCCGGGGAAACCCGGAUUAAUACCGCAUGAUCUCGCAAGAGCAAAGCGGGGGACCGUAAGGCCUCGCGCUGAAAGAUGAGCCUAUGUCGGAUUAGCUAGUUGGCGGGGUAAAGGCCCACCAAGGCGACGAUCCGUAGCUGGUCUGAGAGGACGAUCAGCCACACCGGAACUGAGACACGGUCCGGACUCCUACGGGAGGCAGCAGUGGGGAAUAUUGGACAAUGGGCGCAAGCCUGAUCCAGCAAUUCCGCGUGUGUGAAGAAGGCCUCGGUUGUAAGUA